rnacentral:ncRNA from 1 species
UGUGGUGGAUUCCUGCACGCGCGCUACAAUGAAAGCGUCAACGUGAGUUACGUCCUUACCUGAAAAGGUUUGGCAAUCGAAUGAAACGUUUUCUUGAAUGGAAUAGGGAAUUGCAAUUGUUUCCCUUGAACGAGGAAUUCCCAGUAAGCGUGAGUCAUUAGCUCGCGUUGAUUACGUCCCUGCCCUUUGUACACACCGCCCGUCGCUACUACCGAUUGGAUGAUUUAGUGAGGUGUUUUGACUGGCGCCAGUAGUCGGAUAUGUAUUCGGCUUCGCGCCGGGAAAUUUCCCAAACCAAAUCAUCUAGAGGAAGUAAAAGUCGUAACAAGGUUUCCGUAGGUGAACCUGCGGAAGGAUCAUUA